rnacentral:rRNA from 1 species
GACGAACGCUGGCGGCGUGCUUAACACAUGCAAGUCGAACGAAGAGCGAUGGAAGCUUGCUUCUAUCAAUCUUAGUGGCGAACGGGUGAGUAACGCGUAAUCAACCUGCCCUUCAGAGGGGGACAACAGUUGGAAACGACUGCUAAUACCGCAUACGAUCUAAUCUCGGCAUCGAGGAUAGAUGAAAGGUGGCCUCUACAUGUAAGCUAUCACUGAAGGCGGGGAUUGCGUCUGAUUAGCUAGUUGGAGGGGUAACGGCCCACCAAGGCGAUGAUCAGUAGCCGGUCUGAGAGGAAGAACGGCCACAUUGGGACUGAGACACGGCCCAGACUCCUACGGGAGGCAGCAGUGGGGAAUCUUCCGCAAUGGACGAAAGUCUGACGGAGCAACGCCGUGUGAGCGAUGACGGCCUUCGGGUUGUAAAGCUCUGUUAAUCGGGACGAAAGGCCUUCUUGCGAAUAGUGAGAAGGAUUGACGGUACCGGAAUAGAAAGCCACGGCUAACUACGUG